GUUCCCGCGGCUUGGUUCAGCUAUUGACGGGCGCUUUGAAUGACGGAAGUGACGAGAGCGUGGCGAUGGCCGCCCCGCAGGCGCCCAAACGGCUCUUGGGACGCUGAGCGUCGGGCACUGCGGGGGUCGCGGGGAGCUGCCUCCUGUGGACUCCGGACUUCGCGCUCCUGGGGCUCAGAUCCAUUUUAUUUAAAGUACACAGAAAUGAAAAGAAAGGUAGUGAAUGCUGACAAGCUAAGAUUGAGUCCUAAGGAGGAAGCCUGCAUUUUGAAGGAAGAUUAUGAAAGAAGACGAAAACUAAGAUUGCUACAGGUUCAAGAACAAGAAAGGGACAUUGCUUUGCAAAUAAGAGAAGGCAUAAAACAGAGAAGAAAUCAACAAUUUACUCGUUUGGCAGACAAGCUAAGGGCAGAAUGGGAAAACUCACACACUCAGAAAAUACAAAACUUGGAAAAACUGUACUUGGGAAGUUUAAGAAAUAUGGGAGAAGGACAUCGACAAGCCAAAGAAAAUGAACCUGAUUUGGAUGCUCUGGCACGGCGGGCAGCAGAAAGGAAAAGAAAAGCAGAAGUGAGACAUAAGGAAGCCCUGAAAGUACAAAAAAAUCAAAAGGAAAUAUUAAUGAAACAGAAAACCUGGCAUAUACAAGCUUGAAAGCAAGCACUGCUUGUGGAAAAAGAGAGAUCUGCAAAAAUAUCAAGUCUGCCACUGCCUCUUCCAGCUCCUUUUGAGACUUUUCCACACUCUGGAUUUCUUGCUCUGAAGAUAUAAAUUAUGGAGUGGUGGUUCACACUUGUAAUCCUUGUACACGGAGAACACAGGAUAGCAUUUUGAGGCCAGCUGGGCCAAAGAGUUGUGAGACCCCCCUUCUCUCCAUCUUGAACAAUAAAUACUGGGCAUGGUGUCGCUUGCCUAUCACCCUAGCUGGGAUUGCAGUUCAGACUGCCCAGGCACAAACCUGAGCCCCUACUCAAAACAUAACUAAAACAAGAAGGGCUAGGGGCGUGGCUCGAGUGGUAGAGUGCCUGGGUAGCAGGUGCAAGGCCUUGAGUUCAAACCCCAGUACCACCAAUAAAAGAAAAAAGAAAUUACGGUUCAGAUACUUUAAAAAUCUGCUCAAGAUUAUAAGGUAAUGAGAGGGAUUUAUUUAUAUGAGUAAAAUGUGUGCUUUUGUGAUUGAAACUCAUUUUUAAGAGAAUUGUUAAUAACAAUAGAAAUUAACUUUAAGAAGUAUUGGAGCCCGGAGCGUUGGCAUUAGCCUGUAAUCCCAGCACUCAGGAGGCUGAGACAGGAUUAUGGCGAAUUCAAGACCAGCCCCCAUCUCCAAAAAAAAGUGGUUUUCUUGUUCAUAUUUGGUUUUUGUGGUUAUUGACAUGGCUAUUUAUAUGGUUGUCAAAAUUGCAGUUAUCUGAAAAGUUAAGCAGAAGUAAAAGAAUACCUUCACAAUUACAGGGAUGUCUAAUGUGGUUGUAUAUACAAGUAUAUUUUAUGUGUGUCUAAUUAGCAUAAGUCCCAGAUAUUCUCUAGGUCUUCCACUUUGUCAGCCUUUCUGCUUUUGUGUUGAGCCAUCUGCUGUGUUGCAUUUGGUCCAACAAGGUUAAGAUGGAGGAGUCCUAUUUCAGCCAUGCCCUUAGCUCCAGGCAGGAUUAUAAAAAGGCAGGCAGUGUUUUAUUCAUGAUGCCUUUUGAUUACCUUUGUCUUAUUCCUAAUGUUCAUAACAAGCCAAGAUUAAAAAUGUACAAAACAAAAUAUUGUCUGUGUGUAAGUACUUUGUAGGUAUGAAUUAUAUGCAGAUACGUUGUUGUCCUUUUUUCUUUCAACUUCUCAUGAAAAUUUUCAAAGUAUAAGAAAGUUAAGAAUAUAGUAAUUGGGCUGUUAGAGUAGCUCAAAUGGUAGAGUACCUGCCUUGGGUUCAAACCCCAGUACCUCAAAAAAAAAAAAAAA